rnacentral:rRNA from 1 species
UAACUUUGUGCGGUGGAUCACUCGGCUCGUGCGUCGAUGAAGAGCGCAGCCAGCUGCGUGAAUUAAUGUGUAUUGCAGAACACA